UCCAAGCUGAAAGUGAUUGUGUUUGCUGAACAGCAUGGAGACAGAGCUGCAGAAUGACAGUUUUCAGCUGUAAGUUCCUGGAAGGCCGGGGCUAUCUUUUGCCUCUUUUUAUAUUUCCAGUGUUUGAUACAGUGCCUGGCACAUGUCAAGAUGGCUCAGGUAUUGGUGUAGUGAAAAGAAGACUUUUAAUUGAUUGCUGAAACAGAACAUCAUGGAUGCUAUGCCUGUAAUUCGUACCCCCCCAGGGAGCCUUGUAAGAUCUUCAAAGGCAACUGGAGUCUUCCAUUUCCCAGGCAGUCAAGCAGCAGGUUAAGGACUAUUGGAGAAAUUAUGGUAGCAACAAACAUCAGAAGUAAAGAAGAAAAGAAAGAUAGCCCAACUGAAAAGGAGACUACCGGGAAGAAAAAGCCCAUUGAUAUUGGUAAGACUGGGCUCAGUAAAGGUGAAAUAUAAAAAGUCUAAAUGGCAACUAGCACCAAAAAAAAUUGUGACUCUCCCGAUAAGGCUUAAAUAUUAAUUAGUCUGUUAACUAACUGUACUAGUAGUAAUAAAUUUCUGGAUUCUGUCCUAAACAUUCUGUGAUUCUUUAUCCCCUUUUCUGUGUGGGAAUAAAACUA